UGGUAGAGGAGCAUUGUAUACUGGCAGAAGCCAUACCGGAAGGAGUGGUGGACGGUAUACAAGAGAGAAUGCCGGUAUGAGUAGCGAGAGCGAAGUGAGAAUCUUUGCCGUCAAAAGCCCAAGGAUUCCUGAGGAAGGUUCGUCCCCUCAGGGUAAGUCGGGACCUAAGCCGAGGACGAAAGUCGUAGGCGAUGGACAAUCGGUUGACAUUCCGAUACCACCGACAUCCGCAUGAGAGAAGCAGUGACACAGGAGGAUAGACGGAGCAGGUUGUUGGUAGAGCCUGUUCAAGCAGUAAGUCCGGGAAGCGAGUGAAGUACCGUUUCCCGUUAAGGAUGAGCUGUGACGGGGACCGAAAUUAAAGUAGGGAAGCCGUUGAAUCCACACUGGCGAGAAAAGCUGCUAUCGAGGAUGGAGGUGCCCGUACCGUAAACCGACACAGGUGGGCGGGGAGAGAAUCCCAAGACGAGCGGGAGAACCCUUGUUAAGGAACUCGGCAAAAUGACCCCGUAACUUCGGGAGAAGGGGUGCCUGGGAAACCAGGCCGCAGAGAAAAGGCCCAAGCGACUGUUUAGCAAAAACACAGGUAUCUGCGAACUCGAGAGAGGAAGUAUAGGUGCUGACGCCUGCCCAGUGCUGGAAGGUUAAGGGGAAGUGUAAGAGCGAGAGCGCGAAGCACAGAACUGAAGCCCCAGUGAACGGCGGCCGUAACUAUAACGGUCCUAAGGUAGCGAAAUUCCUUGUCGGGCAAGUUCCGACCCGCACGAAAGGCGUAACGAUUUGGGCGCUGUCUCAACAAGGGACCCGGCGAAAUUGUAGUACCAGUGAAGAUACUGGUUACCCGCGAUAGGACGGAAAGACCCCGUAGAGCUUUACUGUAACCUGAUAUUGGAUUUUGGCAGGGAAUGUACAGGAUAGGUGGGAGACUGGGAAGCAUGUACGCCAGUAUGUGUGGAGUCAAUGUUGGGAUACCACCCUUUCUGUGCCGGAAUUCUAACCUUGGAGCCGUGAACCGGCGAAGGGACAUUGUCAGGUGGGCAGUUUGACUGGGGCGGUCGCCUCCGAAAGAGUAACGGAGGCGCCCAAAGGUUCCCUCAGAAUGGUUGGAAAUCAUUCGAAGAGUGUAAAGGCAGAAGGGAGCCUGACUGCGAGAGAGACAUCUCGGGCAGGGACGAAAGUCGGGCUUAGUGAUCCGGCGGUAUCGAGUGGAAGAGCCGUCGCUCAACGGAUAAAAGCUACCUCGGGGAUAACAGGCUUAUCUCCCCCAAGAGU
rnacentral:rRNA from 1 species